rnacentral:rRNA from 1 species
UACGAAGGGGGCUAGCGUUGCUCGGAAUGACUGGGCGUAAAGGGCGCGUAGGCGGAUUGUACAGUCAGGCGUGAAAUUCCCGGGCUCAACCUGGGGGCUGCGCUUGAGACGUGCGAUCUUGAGUGGGGAAGAGGGUCGUGGAAUUCCCAGUGUAGAGGUGAAAUUCGUAGAUAUCUGGAGGAACACCGGUGGCGAAGGCGGCAUCCUGGACCGGCAUUGACGCUGAGUGAGCGAAAGCCAGGGGAGCAAACGGG